UACGGAGGGUGCAAGCGUUAUCCGGAUUCACUGGGUUUAAAGGGUGCGUAGGUGGGUCUGUAAGUCAGUGGUGAAAUCUCCGAGCUUAACUCGGAAACUGCCAUUGAUACUAUAGGUCUUGAAUAUCCUGGAGGUGAGCGGAAUAUGUCAUGUAGCGGUGAAAUGCUUAGAUAUGACAUAGAACACCAAUUGCGAAGGCAGCUCACUACGGGAUCAUUGACACUGAGGCACGAAAGCGUGGGGAGCAAACAGG
rnacentral:rRNA from 1 species